rnacentral:rRNA from 1 species
AGCGAACGCUGGCGGCAGGCUUAACACAUGCAAGUCGAACGGGCACUUCGGUGCUAGUGGCAGACGGGUGAGUAACACGUGGGAACGUACCUUUCGGUUCGGAAUAAUUCAGGGAAACUUGGACUAAUACCGGAUACGCCCUCUGGGGGAAAGAUUUAUCGCCGAUAGAUCGGCCCGCGUCUGAUUAGCUAGUUGGUGAGGUAAAGGCUCACCAAGGCGACGAUCAGUAGCUGGUCUGAGAGGAUGAUCAGCCACAUUGGGACUGAGACACGGCCCAAACUCCUACGGGAGGCAGCAGUGGGGAAUAUUGGACAAUGGGCGCAAGCCUGAUCCAGCCAUGCCGCGUGAGUGAUGAAGGCCUUAGGGUUGUAAAGCUCUUUUGUCCGGGAAGAUAAUGACUGUACCGGAAGAAUAAGCCCCGGCUAACUUCGUGCCAGCCGCCGCCGUAACAC